CAUUCUUAGGGGGAAGAAGAACACAAGCAAAAACCUAACCCUCACUUUAAUUUCAAAUCCAUGUAACUUGUGAUCCGGAGCUCCGAUUGACGAACCGUUUGCGACCACGCGUUCACCGUGACGAGCUCUAUGAAACCCAUGGAACAAUUUGGUUCAAGUUAGCUUCCGGAACUUGUGGGCUCAAGCUAUUGAGCAUAUGGGUAUGGUGUAGAUUAAGUGGGUAUAUACGCAUUGGGAAUAUUUAGAGGCUUGUUGGUGAUCAAAGCUUAGUUUGUGGCUAUUGUACUUGAGCUUGAAGAGGCUGUAAUUUGGUGUUGAGAAGCUGCCUUGGGUGAAUUAAGUGAUCGGCCAAGAUGCAGGUCGAGAGGCUCCUCGCUAGGCGUCUGGAUUCUGGAAAGCGAAGAAGUUAUUGGGUGUAUUUUGGGUUCUAUUUGUAUGUAUGUAUAUAUAUAUAUUCUCCGGCCAGCCUUGACUUCGCAGGCUGAGUCAGGAGCUAGCUAUGAUGUUUCCUUGGCUUUCCUUUACUCUCUUGUUUAUCUUGUUCAUUCCCUAUUAGGUUUCUUCACCGCAAGUAA